GUGCUCGCUUCGGCAGAACAUUUACUAAAAUUGAAACGAUAUGGAAGAUUAGCAUGGCCCCUGCACAAGGGUGACACGCAAAUUCAUGAAGUGUUCCAUGUUUUU